rnacentral:rRNA from 1 species
AGAACGAACGCUGGCGGCAUGCCUAACACAUGCAAGUCGAACGAAGGCUUCGGCCUUAGUGGCGCACGGGUGCGUAACGCGUGGGAAUCUGCCCUGGGGUACGGAAUAACAGUUAGAAAUGACUGCUAAUACCGUAUGAUGACGUAAGUCCAAAGAUUUAUCGCCCUGGGAUGAGCCCGCGUAGGAUUAGCUAGUUGGUGGGGUAAAGGCCUACCAAGGCGACGAUCCUUAGCUGGUCUGAGAGGAUGAUCGACGACCAC